rnacentral:rRNA from 1 species
AGAGUUUGAUUAUGGCUCAGAACGAACGCUGGCGGCAUGCCUCAUACAUGCAAGUCGAACGAGGUCUUCGGACCUAGUGGCGCACGGGUGAGUAACAUGUGGGAAUCUACCUGAAGGUUCGGAAUAACUGCGGGAAACUGUAGCUAAUACCGGAUGUGUCUGCAAAGAGAAAGAUUUAUCGCCUUCAGAUGAGCCCGCACUAGAUUAGCUAGUUGGUGAGGUAAUUGCUCCACCAAGGCUCCGAUCUAUAGCUGAUUUGAGAGGAUGAUCAGCCACACUGGGACUGAGACACGGCCCAGACUCCUACGGGAGGCAGCAGUAGGGAAUAUUGGACAAUGGGGGAAACCCUGAUCCAGCAAUGCCGCGUGAGUGAAGAAGGCCUUCGGGUUGUAAAGCUCUUUCAUCAAUGAUGAUAAUGACAUUAGUUGAAGAAGAAGCCCCGGCUAACUUCGUGCCAGCAGCCGCGGUAAUACGAAGGGGGCUAGCGUUGUUCGGAAUCACUGGGCGUAAAGCGUAUGUAGGCGGAUCAAAAAGUUAGAUGUGAAAUCCCUGGGCUCAACCCAGGAACUGCAUUUAAAACUAGUGAUCUAGAAUUUGGUAGGGGUUAGUAGAAUUUCCAGUGUAGAGGUGAAAUUCGUAGAUAUUGGAAAGAAUACCAGUGGCGAAGGCGACUAACUGGGCCAUUUUUGACGCUGAGAUACGAAAGCGUGGGUAGCAAACAGGAUUAGAUACCCUGGUAGUCCACGCAGUAAACGAUGAGUGCUAGUCGCUGGGACAAUAGUUUCAGUGUCGAAGCUAACG